rnacentral:lncRNA from 1 species
ACACAUGAGCACAAUGUAUACAUGUACACGUGUAAACAAAUGCAUGCAAACAUGCAUGUGCACAUUUAUGCAUACACGAAUACCUACACACAAACAUACAAACAUUCUGUGUACACACAUACAUGGAUACACAUGCAUACAUGCACACACACACAUGCAUCCAUGCCUGCAGGCAUGCAUGUGCAGACAUAUGUGUACACAAAUGCAUACCCGCAGAUGCAUGUACACAUGGGUACACACACAU